rfam:Callithrix jacchus chromosome 2, whole genome shotgun sequence
GUUGUUGCCAUGGUAAUCCUGCUCAGUACUCCAGGCUCAAACAUUUGGUGUGUGCGCAUGGCUGAGGAGCCAAUGGAGUGAAGCUGCCAUCUGUGACAUUAUAACUGAGUGCCUCUGGGUCAAAAUCCUGCCUAGGUGAAACAAU